rnacentral:rRNA from 1 species
UACGUAGGGACCGAGCGUUGUCCGGAAUCAUUGGGCGUAAAGAGCGUGUAGGCGGCCCUUUUAAGUCCUGCGUGAAAUCCUGCGGCUCAACCGCAGACGGUCGUGGGAAACUGGAAGGCUAGAGUGCGGGAGAGGAGAGUGGAAUUCCCGGUGUAGCGGUGAAAAUGCGCAGAUAUCGGGGAAGAACACCCCGUGGCGAAGGCGGCUCUCUGGAACGCAACUGACGCUAGACGCGAAAAGCGUGGGGGAGCAAACAGG